rnacentral:rRNA from 1 species
CAGCCGCCGCGGGAAUACGAAGGGGGCUAGCGUUGCUCGGAAUGACUGGGCGUAAAGGGCGCGUAGGCGGUUCACGCAGUCAGAUGUGAAAUUCCUGGGCUUAACCUGGGGGCUGCAUUUGAGACGCGUGGGCUUGAGUAUGAAAGAGGGUCGUGGAAUUCCCAGUGUAGAGGUGAAAUUCGUAGAUAUUGGGAAGAACACCGGUGGCGAAGGCGGCGACCUGGUUCAUUACUGACGCUGAGGCGCGAAAGCGUGGGGAGCAAACAGGAUUAGAUACCCCCGUAGUCCCUGUCUCUUAUAC